GCGCGUAGCUUAGUGGUUAGGGUAUACGGCUCACGAUCGUAAGGUCGUGAGUUCAAUACCUAUCGACGCA
rnacentral:tRNA from 1 species